UCAUUGUGAGACAGUGAACAAUUGGGUUGUUGUGAGAGUUAACUGAGAUUACAUUUGCAAAACAGCACAAGUGAAUACUCUAUGCAGGAGAAAUCUUCUAACAUAUUCAGAAUUUAUGUCUAAUCCCCCAUAAAAUACAUAGUUUCCAACAUAAAAAUCAGCAGUGAUGCAAACCCACUUCACACGCAGCACCCGCCUGCACUGCACCGCACGACGCUGUGACAACACAAACACAAAGCUGAUGCUGAUUGCUCAACAGUGAGGGAUACCUGCCCAGGAGCUGCCAGCACCAUGGAGCUGGUAGGCUAACUCAUCAACUUGUAAGCAUGGCAAAAUCUCAGGCCCUUCAGAAUUCUUGACAAGAACCACACCCCAGGGAGCUGUAGAACUAUACAGAUAGAACCUGGACCACCUAAGCUUAUUUUUCUGGCUUGUGAUUGAUGAGCAAGUCAAGGAAUGAGAAUCAACACUAGAUUUUGUUGCCAUAUAAAGAAGAGAAAUAAAAUGAUUUUACAAAAGAG